GGCGGCGCGCCUAACACAUGCAAGUCGAACGAGCGAGAGAGAGUUUACUUUUUCGAGCGAGUGGCGAACGGGUGAGUAACGCGUGAGGAACCUGCCUCAAAGAGGGGGACAACAGUUGGAAACGACUGCUAAUACCGCAUAAGCCCACGGCUCGGCAUCGAGCAGAGGGAAAAGGAGCAAUCCGCUUUGAGAUGGCCUCGCGUCCGAUUAGCUAGUUGGUGAGGUAAUGGCCCACCAAGGCGACGAUCGGUAGCCGGACUGAGAGGUUGAACGGCCACAUUGGGACUGAGACACGGCCCAGACUCCUACGGGAGGCAGCAGUGGGGAAUAUUGCACAAUGGGGGAAACCCUGAUGCAGCGACGCCGCGUGGAGGAAGAAGGUCUUCGGAUUGUAAACUCCUGUUGUUGAGGAAGAUAAUGACGGUACUCAACAAGGAAGUGACGGCUAACUACGUGCCAGCAGCCGCGGUAAAACGUAGGUCACAAGCGUUGUCCGGAAUUACUGGGUGUAAAGGGAGCGCAGGCGGGAAGACAAGUUGGAAGUGAAAUCCAUGGGCUCAACCCAUGAACUGCUUUCAAAACUGUUUUUCUUGAGUAGUGCAGAGGUAGGCGGAAUUCCCGGUGUAGCGGUGGAAUGCGUAGAUAUCGGGAGGAACACCAGUGGCGAAGGCGGCCUACUGGGCACCAACUGACGCUGAGGCUCGAAAGUGUGGGUAGCAAACAGGAUUAGAUACCCUGGUAGUCCACACUGUAAACGAUGAUUACUAGGUGUUGGAGGAUUGACCCCUUCAGUGCCGCAGUUAACACAAUAAGUAAUCCACCUGGGGAGUACGACCGCAAGGUUGCAACUCAAAGGAAUUGACGGA
rnacentral:rRNA from 1 species